rnacentral:rRNA from 1 species
CCUGACGACCAUAGCGUGCCGGCACCACCCGAUCCCUUCCCGAACUCGGUAGUGAAACGGCUCCGCGCCGAUGGUAGUGUGGGGUCUCCCCAUGUGAGAGUAGGUCAUCGUCAGGCACCCCUUCCGAACCCCGGUCCUUAACAGGACCGGGGUUCUUUUAUG